rnacentral:rRNA from 1 species
AGAGUUGAUUAUGGCUCAGGAUGAACGCUAGCGGCAGGCCUAACACAUGCAAGUCGCGGGGCAGCACGGGUAGCAAUACCUGGUGGCGACCGGCGCACGGGUGCGUAACGCGUAUGCAACCUGCCCCCAUCAGGGGAAUAGCCCGCCGAAAGGCGGAUUAAUGCCCCAUAGGCCCAGGGCGCCGCAUGGCGCUAUGGGUAAAGCUCCGGCGGAUGGGGAUGGGCAUGCGUGCCAUUAGCUAGUUGGGGCGGUAACGGCGCACCAAGGCGACGAUGGCUAGGGGGUCUGAGAGGAUGGUCCCCCACACUGGUACUGAGACACGGACCAGACUCCUACGGGAGGCAGCAGUGAGGAAUAUUGGUCAAUGGGCGGAAGCCUGAACCAGCCAUGCCGCGUGCAGGAUGACGGCCCUACGGGUUGUAAACUGCUUUUCCCCGGGAAGAAUAAGCCCCUCGCGAGGGGUGAUGCCGGUACCGGGGGAAUAAGGAUCGGCUAACUCCGUGCCAGCAGCCGC